rnacentral:rRNA from 1 species
AGUGAACGCUGGCGGUAGGCCUAACACAUGCAAGUCGAACGGCAGCACAGUAAGAGCUUGCUCAUACGGGUGGCGAGUGGCGGACGGGUGAGGUAUACAUCGGAAUCUACUUUUUCGUGGGGGCUAACGCAGGGAAACUUACGCUAAUACCGCAUAUGACCUCCGGGGGAAAGCAGGGGAUCUUCGGACCUUGCGCGAUUGAAUGAGCCGAUGUCGGAUUAGCUAGAUGGCGGGGUAGAGGCCUACCAAGGCGACAAUCCGUAGGUGGUCCGAGCGGGAGAUCACACACCUUGGAACUGAGACACGGCCCAGACUCCGACGGUAGGCAGCAGUGGGGACUAUUGCACGAUCGGCGCAUGCCUGAUCCAGCCCUACCGCCUGAGUGAAGAAGCACUUCUGCUUGUAAAGUCCUUUUGUUGGGAAGGAAGAGCAGCACGUUAAUCCCCCGCUGUUCUGACGGUACCCAAAGAAUAAGCACCGGCUAACUUCGUG